rnacentral:misc_RNA from 1 species
GAUGAAGAACGCAGCGAAAUGCGAUAAGUAAUGCGAAUUGCAGAUUUCAGUGAAUCAUCGAGUCUUUGAACGCACAUUGCGCCCCCUGGUAUUCCGGGGGGCAUGCCUGUCCGAGCGUCAUUGCUGCCCUCAAGCACGGCUUGUGUGUUGGGCCCCGUCCUCCGAUCCCGGGGGACGGGCCCGAAAGGCAGCGGCGGCACCGCGUCCGGUCCUCGAGCGUAUGGGGCUUUGUCACCCGCUCUGUAGGCCCGGCCGGCGCUUGCCGAUCAACCCAAAUUUUUAUCCAGGUUGACCUCGGAUCAGGUAGGGAUACCCGCUGAACUUAAGCAUAUCAAUAAGCGGAGGA